UGCCAUGAGAUGUGGUGUAGGUCCCAGACGCGACUCGGAUCUGGCAUUGCUGUGGCUGUGGUGUAGGCUGGCAGCUACAGCUCCAAUGAGAGCCCUAACCUGGGAACCUCCAUAUGCCAUAGGUGUAGCCCUAAAAAGCAAAAUUAAAAUAAAAUAACAAAAUUUAAAAAAAUAAUAAAAAGUCUUAAAUACACACUGGCCCAAUCCCCCCUGAAUUUCCCCUGUAUCACCACCUCCCCAGCCACUCCUCCUCUGUUGUGACCUUCAGAAUCAUGAAUAGUAGACCUCUACCCCUAUCCUUUGUUAGUGCUUCUUGCCUCUGAUUUUACAUAUCAUCCCUGCUUAUCAUGAUGGAAGGACUUUCAGAGAAUCAAAAGGUGGAGGGUGGGCUAUUUUAAGGUAUGUGUCAUGCUCUGUGGCCCACUUACUGAAUUGAGUUGACCUUGAGAUCCUUCCUGGGUUUGGGAAGCCGCUUGAUCCACGUUUCCUGUUUGUAUUAAUCCACAUUCUCCUGGUUUGAUGGCCAUUCUCUGGGAGGAAAACAAGCUUCUUCUUGAAGCUGUAUGAAAAUUUGCUGCUCCCAUAGGUAUCAUUUAGUUGCUCUGCCCCAGUUAUUGUUGGCCUCUUUCCCUCCUGGAACCAGUUAGUCUCUGUCCCACCCUUCCCCCUAGUUCCAAGUGUUAGGACAACGUUCUUCCUUUUAGCAGGGCGUUCAUGCCAUUAGCAUUUGGUAUUGAUCGGUUGUUGAAAAAUUUUAGCAGGAAAAUGAAAUAUGAGCCUCUAGCAGCUAGGCAAAGAUGAGAGAGUGAAGCCAUUUGUGGCAUGUUUCUGCUUCUGGGGCUCACUGUGAUAAUGGGAGGUAUUUUCUCCUCACUCUUGUGAAGUGCAUAGUCCACACACUCCUCUUGGGAAGUGAUUCUGACACUUUUUGAAGGUCCUGUGGCUUUUACAUUCUUACACCACCUCCUAAUGAGCUAUCUUAUAACAUCCUUUUUGUGUGAAGAUUGCCCUUUCUCUCACCAUCCAAUAGGGUGUGAAAAGGAAGUUUCAUCACUUACGGCCAAUUGGACCGUAUGCCUACUGUGCCAGCAAGAACUAGUCAAGAUUAGCUUCUUUUGUCACAAGAGUAUUCCUGGCUGGCAGUAUUACCAGAAUUUUUCUCCCAAAUUCACACUGUGAGGUCAUUUCCAGGAGAAUGGUUGAGUAUAAGGAUUUGUUUUUGCUCUUUAAGAUAUACUCCAGGAGUUCCCGUCGUGGCGCAGUGGUUAACGAAUCCGACUAGGAACCAUGAGGUCGCGGGUUCGGUCCCUGCCCUUGCUCAGUGGGUUAACGAUCCAGGCGUUGCCGUGAGCUGUGGUGUAGGUUGCAGACACGGCUCGGAUCCCGCGUUGCUGUGGCUCUAGCGUAGGCCGGUGGCUACAGCUCCGAUUCAACCCCUAGCCUGGGAACUUCCAUAUGCCGCGGAAGCGGCCCAAGAGAUAGCAACAACAACAAAAAGAC
rnacentral:lncRNA from 1 species